rfam:Thermoplasmatales archaeon DG-70 15865, whole genome shotgun sequence.
GGGCCGCUAGCUCAGUCUGGAAGAGCAACAGGCUCUUAACCUGUGGGUCGGGGGUUCAAAUCCCUCGCGGCCCG